UUAUAUAUUGUCCCUUUGCUUUGGUUGGAAUGUAUCCUGCAAGAAUGGACGGAAGGUCUGCCACUGCUUGUUUACUGGUGAUGCUUGUGUUGUUCGGAAGCACUACAUCUGGAGAGAAAUGUGCCGUGGUUCAAUUUUCGCUCGUGAUCUGCAACAAUCUAGCAUGCAAGCAUGAAUGUGAGUUUUGGGGCCAGGGCAAGAAGGUUCGAGGAUUCUGGUGCAAUCGGAUGCUCCGUGGCACCUGCAACUGCAAGAUUUGUUGGGAUGAAUAAACUUAAUUGAUACGCUAAGCACAAUUAAUGUUAUCAUUAUUGAAUUCA